rnacentral:lncRNA from 1 species
GGAGAAAGAGGAGGAAAAGGUAACAGUGAUGGAGGAGGAGGUGAUGGCUUGGUGGUAACAUAGAGGCUUGUUGGUGACGUGUAGGUGGAGAAAGGUGGUGACACUAAUGAUGGUUACCAGAGUUAGAAAAGGAGGUGGUGAAGGAAGAGGAAGACAAAUAAGAGGAGAAUAAGAUACUAAAGGAUGAAAAUAACUUAAAAGAAGCGAUAGUGGUGUGACAACGGAAUGAUGAUGAAGAGGAAAAUGAUAAAGAAUUAAAGGAAAAGGAAGAAGAAGAAGAAUGAAACUAGCCACACAUUUUAACAACUGAUGUUACUAGAGAACAUCUAUCAACAACCAUCUAGCGACGAAUUUGUGAUGAUUGAUAUUUAUCAACAAAUUUUUUUAUCCAUUGAUCGGUAUUUAUCUAAUGAAUUUUUACUCAAUGGUAAUCUUUGAGUAAACACAAGAUAGAUUAUGCCUGCUAUUUUUUAUAAUGAUAUUACCAUGUAAAACUUUAUGUUAAAGGUAAUUUCAAGUUUUUUGUAUCAUUUGCUCUAACCUAUAAAGGAAGAUUUCUCCAAUAAAGGUGUACAAACUUCACCUGAUGAGUUGAUUUUGUAAAGUUAAGUUUAAAGUUUAAUUUUUAACAUGGUAUCAAAGUCAUUAAAAGUUUAUCUUAACGAGAUUUAUUUUUUGUUGGAUCUACUGUGUCACCCGCUAUUAGGAG